rnacentral:rRNA from 1 species
UGGGGAAUUUUGGACAAUGGGCGAAAGCCUGAUCCAGCAAUGCCGCGUGUGUGAAGAAGGCCUUCGGGUUGUAAAGCACUUUUGUCCGGAAAGAAAUCCUUGGCUCUAAUACAGUCGGGGGAUGACGGUACCGGAAGAAUAAGCACCGGCUAACUACGUGCCAGCAGCCGCGGUAAUACGUAGGGUGCAAGCGUUAAUCGGAAUUACUGGGCGUAAAGCGUGCGCAGGCGGUUUGCUAAGACCGAUGUGAAAUUCCCGGGCUCAACCUGGGAACUGCAUUGGUGACUGGCAGGCUAGAGUAUGGCAGAGGGGGGUAGAAUUCCACGUGUAGCAGUGAAAUGCGUAGAGAUGUGGAGGAAUACCGAUGGCGAAGGCAGCCCCCUGGGCCAAUACUGACGCUCAUGCACGAAAAGCGUGGGGGAGCAAAACAGGAUUAGAUACCCUGGUAGUCCACGCCCUAAACGAUGUCAACUAGUUGUUGGGGAUUCAUUUCCUUAGUAACGUAGCUAACGCGUGAAGUUGACCGCCUGGGGAGUACGGUCGC